AGUAGUAUCACAAAUAGAGAAAUCACAAGGUGUUAUCAUAUAAGUACUUUGUUCAGUAAUCUUUUGUUAAUUUUUCUUCUUUAGUCUAUUCGGAUCAAGGAACUCUGCUAGACUAGGUUAAUCUUAGACUCUUUUGUUAGUUCGGACCUAUUAGUCCAAGUAUGAUUUUUUUGCACCUUCUUUUCUUUUUCUUUCUCAAAGAUUAUUGCCCA
rnacentral:lncRNA from 1 species